ACUCAGUGAUGAUGAAACAGAGACAAGCAUAUGUCUGAAAUUACGUGAAAGAAUAUGUAUUAUCUGAGAGU